UUAAGGCCUGGUGUACUGCUGAGAAUUCUGAUUUAACAUAAACAGUUUUUCUUUUUUUUUUUUUUUUUUUUAUGUUAAAUCAGAAUUCUCAGCAGUACACCAGGCCUUAA